rnacentral:rRNA from 1 species
UCGGGAAUUUUGGGCAAUGGGCGAAAGCCUGACCCAGCAACGCCGCGUGAAGGAUGAAGUAUUUCGGUAUGUAAACUUCGAAAGAAUAGGAAGAAUAAAUGACGGUACUAUUUAUAAGGUCCGGCUAACUACGUGCCAGCAGCCGCGGUAAUACGUAGGGACCAAGCGUUGUUCGGAUUUACUGGGCGUAAAGGGCGCGUAGGCGGCAAUUCAAGUCAUCUGUGAAAUCUCCGGGCUUAACUCGGAACGGUCAGAUGAUACUGCUUUGCUAGAGUGCAGAAGGGGCAAUCGGAAUUCUUGGUGUAGCGGUGAAAUGCGUAGAUAUCAAGAGGAACACCUGAGGUGAAGACGGGUUGCUGGGCUGACACUGACGCUGAGGCGCGAAAGCGUGGGGAGCAAACAGGAUUAGAUACCCGGGUAGUCCCUGAGCGGGCUGGCAAGGCGCAU